UACAGAGGGCCCGAGCGUUGUUCGGAUUCAUUGGGCGUAAAGGGUGCGUAGGCGGCGGGGCAAGUCUGAUGUGAAAUCCCGGGGCUCAACCCCGGAACUGCAUUGGAUACUGCCUUGCUUGAGUACUGGAGAGGGAACUGGAAUUUACGGUGUAGCAGUGAAAUGCGUAGAGAUCGUAAGGAAGGCCAGUGGCGAAGGCGAGUUCCUGGACAGUUACUGACGCUGAGGCACGAAGGCCAGGGGAGCAAACGGG
rnacentral:rRNA from 1 species